rnacentral:rRNA from 1 species
GACGAACGCUGGCGGCGUGCCUAAUACAUGCAAGUCGAACGCUUCUUUUUCACCGAACUUCGGUUCAUCGAAAAAGAGGAGUGGCGAACGGGUGAGUAACACGUGGGUAACCUGCCCAUCAGAAGGGGAUAACACUUGGAAACAGGUGCUAAUACCGUAUAAUGCUUUUUCUCGCAUGAGAGCAAGCUGAAAGGCGCUUUUGCGUCACUGAUGGAUGGACCCGCGGUGCAUUAGCUAGUUGGUGAGGUAACGGCUCACCAAGGCCACGAUGCAUAGCCGACCUGAGAGGGUGAUCGGCCACACUGGGACUGAGACACGGCCCAGACUCCUACGGGAGGCAGCAGUAGGGAAUCUUCGGCAAUGGACGAAAGUCUGACCGAGCAACGCCGCGUGAGUGAAGAAGGUUUUCGGAUUCGUAAAACUCUGUUGUUAGAGAAGAACAAGGAUGAGAGUAAAAUGUUCAUCCCUUGACGGAUCUACCAGAAGCC